rnacentral:rRNA from 1 species
UCCAGACUCCUACGGGAGGCAGCAGUGGGGAAUAUUGCACAAUGGGGGAAACCCUGAUGCAGCGACGCCGCGUGAGUGAAGAAGUAUUUCGGUAUGUAAAGCUCUAUCAGCAGGGAAGAAAUAGCGACCUUUGGGUCGCCAGACGGUACCUGAUUAAGAAGCCCCGGCUAACUACGUGCCAGCAGCCGCGGUAAUACGUAGGGGGCAAGCGUUAUCCGGAAUUACUGGGUGUAAAGGGAGCGUAGACGGUGAUGCAAGUCUGGAGUGAAAGGCGGGGGCCCAACCCCCGGACUGCUCUGGAAACUGUGCAACUUGAGUGCAGGAGAGGUAAGCGGAAUUCCUAGUGUAGCGGUGAAAUGCGUAGAUAUUAGGAAGAACACCAGUGGCGAAGGCGGAUGACUGGACGACAACUGACGGUGAGGCGCGAAAGCGUGGGGAGCAAACAGGAUUAGAUACCCCAGUACAG